AGAUGUUUUACGCUUGAAGUUGCAAGUCAAAGGAAGCACGGAUAUUCCUUUCAGCACAAGGAAGUACUCAGUACAAAUUGCGCUUCCAGAAACAUUAUUUGAGGGAAAUCGCAUAAAGGAAACAAGUAGGACCAUUGCAUUAAGGCUUCCAAGAUAGAAUGAAACAUUAUCAUUUCUUGUAAAAAACAAAGAUUUGUUAAACAAGGAGAAUUAUAUAUUAGAUUUAAAGUUAAGUAGCACAAACACAGAACCGACAACUGUAAAGAUAAGCAUGGGGGAGUUGUGUGAAGAGACAAGUGUUGCUACAUUU